rnacentral:rRNA from 1 species
UACGAAGGGUGCAAGCGUUAAUCGGAAUUACUGGGCGUAAAGCGUGCGUAGGCGGUUUGUUAAGUCUGCUGUGAAAUCCCCGGGCUCAACCUGGGAAUGGCAGUGGAUACUGGCAAGCUAGGGUGUGUCAGAGGAUGGUGGAAUUCCCGGUGUAGCGGUGAAAUGCGUAGAGAUCAGGAGGAACAUCAGUGGCGAAGGCGGCCAUCUGGGACAACACUGACGCUGAGGCACGAAAGCGUGGGGAGCAAACAGG